rnacentral:rRNA from 1 species
AUGCCGCGUGAGUGAUGAAGGCCUUAGGGUCGUAAAGCUCUUUCGCCAGGGAUGAUAAUGACAGUACCUGGUAAAGAAACCCCGGCUAACUCCGUGCCAGCAGCCGCGGUAAUACGGAGGGGGUUAGCGUUGUUCGGAAUUACUGGGCGUAAAGCGCACGUAGGCGGAUUGGAAAGUUGGGGGUGAAAUCCCAGGGCUCAACCCUGGAACUGCCUCCAAAACUCCUAGUCUUGAGUUCGAGAGAGGUGAGUGGAAUUCCGAGUGUAGAGGUGAAAUUCGUAGAUAUUCGGAGGAACACCAGUGGCGAAGGCGGCUCACUGGCUCGAUACUGACGCUGAGGUGCGAAAGUGUGGGGAGCAAACAGGAUUAGAUACCCUGGUAGUCCACACCGUAAACGAUGAAUGCCAGUCGUCGGGUAGCAUGCUAUUCGGUGACACACCUAACGGAUUAAGCAUUCCGCCUGGGGAGUACGGUCGC